rnacentral:rRNA from 1 species
GUCCACGCCCUAAACGAUGUCAACUAGGUGUUGGGGAAGGUGACUUCCUUAGUACCGCAGCUAACGCGUGAAGUUGACCGCCUGGGGAGUACGGCCGCAAGGUUAAAACUCAAAGGAAUUGACGGGGACCCGCACAAGCGGUGGAUGAUGUGGAUUAAUUCGAUGCAACGCGAAAAACCUUACCUACCCUUGACAUGCCAGGAACUCUGCUGAGAGGUGGAGGUGCCCGAAAGGGAGCCUGGACACAGGUGCUGCAUGGCUGUCGU